CCUACGGGAGGCAGCAGUAGGGAAUAUUGCACAAUGGGGGAAACCCUGAUGCAGCGACACAGCGUGCGUGAUGAAGUAUUUCGGUAUGUAAAGUUCUAUCAGAAGGGAAGAAAAUGACGGUACCUGAAUAAGAAGCCCCGGCUAACUACGUGCCAGCAGCCGCGGUAAUACGUAGGGGGCAAGCGUUAUCCGGAUUUACUGGGUGGAAAGGGAGCGUAGACGGGUUCGCAAGUCUGAAGUGAAAAGCCGGGGCUUAACCCCGGAACUGCUUUGGAAACUGGGCAGCUAGAGUGAGGGAGAGGUAAGUGGAAUUCCUAGUGUAGCGGUGAAAUGCGUAGAUAUUAGGAGGAACACCAGUGGCGAAGGCAGCUUACUGGACUGUAACUGACGUUGAGGCUCGAAAGCGUGGGGAGCAAACAGGAUUAGAUACCCUAGUAGUC
rnacentral:rRNA from 1 species